GAUGAACGCUGGCGGCGUGCCUAAUACAUGCAAGUCGAGCGAACGGACGAGAAGCUUGCUUCUCUGAUGUUAGCGGCGGACGGGUGAGUAACACGUGGAUAACCUACCUAUAAGACUGGGAUAACUUCGGGAAACCGGAGCUAAUACCGGAUAAUAUUUUGAACCGCAUGGUUCAAAAGUGAAAGACGGUCUUGCUGUCACUUAUAGAUGGAUCCGCGCUGCAUUAGCUAGUUGGUAAGGUAACGGCUUACCAAGGCAACGAUGCAUAGCCGACCUGAGAGGGUGAUCGGCCACACUGGAACUGAGACACGGUCCAGACUCCUACGGGAGGCAGCAGUAGGGAAUCUUCCGCAAUGGGCGAAAGCCUGACGGAGCAACGCCGCGUGAGUGAUGAAGGUCUUCGGAUCGUAAAACUCUGUUAUUAGGGAAGAACAUAUGUGUAAGUAACUGUGCACAUCUUGACGGUACCUAAUCAGAAAGCCACGGCUAACUACGUGCCAGCAGCCGCGGUAAUACGUAGGUGGCAAGCGUUAUCCGGAAUUAUUGGGCGUAAAGCGCGCGUAGGCGGUUUUUUAAGUCUGAUGUGAAAGCCCACGGCUCAACCGUGGAGGGUCAUUGGAAACUGGAAAACUUGAGUGCAGAAGAGGAAAGUGGAAUUCCAUGUGUAGCGGUGAAAUGCGCAGAGAUAUGGAGGAACACCAGUGGCGAAGGCGACUUUCUGGUCUGUAACUGACGCUGAUGUGCGAAAGCGUGGGGAUCAAACAGGAUUAGAUACCCUGGUAGUCCACGCCGUAAACGAUGAGUGCUAAGUGUUAGGGGGUUUCCGCCCCUUAGUGCUGCAGCUAACGCAUUAAGCACUCCGCCUGGGGAGUACGACCGCAAGGUUGAAACUCAAAGGAAUUGACGGGGACCCGCACAAGCGGUGGAGCAUGUGGUUUAAUUCGAAGCAACGCGAAGAACCUUACCAAAUCUUGACAUCCUUUGACAACUCUAGAGAUAGAGCUUUCCCCUUCGGGGGACAAAGUGACAGGUGGUGCAUGGUUGUCGUCAGCUCGUGUCGUGAGAUGUUGGGUUAAGUCUCGCAACGAGCGCAACCCUUAAGCUUAGUUGCCAUCAUUAAGUUGGGCACUCUAAGUUGACUGCCGGUGACAAACCGGAGGAAGGUGGGGAUGACGUCAAAUCAUCAUGCCCCUUAUGAUUUGGGCUACACACGUGCUACAAUGGACAAUACAAAGGGCAGCGAAACCGCGAGGUCAAGCAAAUCCCAUAAAGUUGUUCUCAGUUCGGAUUGUAGUCUGCAACUCGACUACAUGAAGCUGGAAUCGCUAGUAAUCGUAGAUCAGCAUGCUACGGUGAAUACGUUCCCGGGUCU
rnacentral:rRNA from 1 species